UGCAGUCGACGCUUUGUCUUUACUGAUCUGACGAGCUUGCUCUGAUUUGAUUUUAUCUGACAAAGAGUGGCGAACGGGUGAGUAACACGUGGGUAACCUACCUCUUAGCAGGGGAUAACAUUUGGAAACAAGUGCUAAUACCGUAUAAUACCAACAACCGCAUGGUUGUUGGUUGAAAGAUGGUUCUGCUAUCACUAAGAGAUGGACCCGCGGUGCAUUAGCUAGUUGGUAAGGUAACGGCUUACCAAGGCAAUGAUGCAUAGCCGAGUUGAGAGACUGAUCGGCCACAAUGGGACUGAGACACGGCCCAUACUCCUACGGGAGGCAGCAGUAGGGAAUCUUCCACAAUGGGCGCAAGCCUGAUGGAGCAACGCCGCGUGUGUGAUGAAGGGUUUCGGCUCGUAAAACACUGUUAUAAGAGAAGAACGGCACUGAGAGUAACUGUUCAGUGUGUGACGGUAUCUUACCAGAAAGGAACGGCUAAAUACGUGCCAGCAGCCGCGGUAAUACGUAUGUUCCAAGCGUUAUCCGGAUUUAUUGGGCGUAAAGCGAGCGCAGACGGUUAUUUAAGUCUGAAGUGAAAGCCCUCAGCUCAACUGAGGAAUGGCUUUGGAAACUGGAUGACUUGAGUGCAGUAGAGGAAAGUGGAACUCCAUGUGUAGCGGUGAAAUGCGUAGAUAUAUGGAAGAACACCAGUGGCGAAAGGCGGCUUUCUGGACUGUAACUGACGUUGAGGCUCGAAAGUGUGGGUAGCAAACAGGAUUAGAUACCCUGGUAGUCACACGUAACGAUGAGUGCUAGAUGUUCGAGGGUUCCGCCCUUGAGUGUCGCAGCUAACGCAUAGCACUCGCUGGGGAGUACGAC
rnacentral:rRNA from 1 species